AAUUAUUUAAUAACCCUCAAGAUCCAAUUUCAUAUUAUAUUAAAUUUUUGAACAUUUAUAAUAAAAUAAAUAUUAAAAAGAGAUUAUAAAAUAUAAAAAUCAAAAAAUUUAUAACAACAAAUGUAAAAAAAUAUGUAGAGCAUGAUAAAUAAGUAAACUAAAAAAACUCAACAUUCAAAUUGAAUAUGAAUUAUCACAAAAGGCAGAACAUCAACAAAAAAAAAAGGUAAUGAAAUAUAAAAAAAAAACAUAUUCUUUUCCGAUAAGCAGAACAGUAGUAACAUGUGGGGACUCCAGAAAUUCCAACAACUUUUCAGAAAUUCGAUCAAGCUACAAAUACUUUCUCACCUUAACAUCAACUACAAAACCAAUAAUGCAAACAAAUUAAUCAAAAACCACUUGCAAUAGUAAGUUUCUUCCUAACCCCAUUUUUCAUAACAAUUCAUUAAUCAUUACACAAAGAAUUAAGAGAAGAGUGCAAGAGAUUCAAUUAAGCCAGGUAAAAACCUACAACCUAGGCAAAAGAACUUUAAGACUGUUUCACCUAAAAAUGAAAGAAAACAUAGUUUGACCUAAAGGUGAAAGAAACAAAAACCUUGAGACUGUUUCACUUGAUAAAGAAAAUAUUAAACAAAAUUAAUAAAGUAAAAUUAUCGAACCCAAAGAAUAACCUUAAAAAAAGAAACUAAAAAUGAAACAAAUAUUAGUCAUAAAUACCUAAAGUAGAAGACAAAAUAUUAAAUGGAAAACUAGAAAAACAGAAAUAUGAAAACAUAUAUGGGAAAAUAAUAAAAAUCAAAACUCUUAAAAGAUAAAAAAAUCAAACAAACCAUAUUAAGUUAAAAAAACAAAGCAUAUCAAAUUACCUGAAAAAUAUGAAACGAACUUGAAAAAAGGAAGUAUAAAAAUAUUGAUG
rnacentral:lncRNA from 1 species